rnacentral:lncRNA from 1 species
AGUGAUAUCUGUAUCUUGGAGACUACGUAUGUAUAAUGAACCUGAUGUUUAUUUAUAUAUGUUUAUAGUUCUGUUAGCAGCUCUAUACUACUAGUUGUAGUUUUGUAAGAUUACAGGUACAGGUACAGCUAUCGUUUCGUAUACAGAGGAAUUUUUUUUGUAUACGACGAGUUUGUCGGCGUGUCCGGGAUAAACGUGGAAAUCCGGGGGGUGACAAAAAAUAUUUACAUUAUAAAUUGAAU